GGCGGCAUAGCUUAGUUGGCUAGAGCGUCCGGUUCAUACCCGGAAGGUCGUAGGUUCAAGUCCCACUGCCGCUACCA
rnacentral:tRNA from 4 species